UUCCCAUGGAAACAUAAUAUUUUUAUUUCUUAACAAUUUUGAGUGAGUUCAGACUAUUUUCUUUCUAAUUUUUUAACUUAAUGUGUCAAGUAGGGAAAGGUCUCUUUUAAAGAGAAAUUCUCCGGUGUCCUAAAAGAGUGUGUCCUAAGACAAGGUUCAAAAUUCUGCUUGGAUUUUUUCAGUCUUUUUGUCCUCAGUUUCCCCAAAAGGGAAAUUUUCCCUUUCACCAACGCCCUGUGAACUUUUUUUUUGUCUGUCACAAUUGCGUUUUUAUUUACAUACCUGCCUGCAUCCCUGGAGGAGGUACUGAUGUCAGAUUAACUUCAGGUGCCGAACAAGUCAGCUGAGUGCCUGCAGAGGAGUCAGGGCUGUGGUAGGUGGAAGCUGUCUCGUUCACCCGAGGCAAUGUUGGAAUACACAAGGAAAAGAUGAUCUUUAUGUUCAGAAUCCAGCAACAGGGACUGGGGAGUCUGAGAAAUGAAACAGAUUCACAGAAAAGGAAAUGAGAGCCAGGAUAAGCUCCUAUGGGGUCGAGUUUUGCUUCCUUCUCCCGGGGACAGGAUGUUACACACAGCCAUGGAUCAGUAAUCUCUAACGGGAAGUGAAGAGUGCAAGGAAACAUGCAAGCCUGGCCUUCAUUCUCUCCCAAGACAACUGCCUUCUCUGGCGAAUCCCUGUGUCCUGCUGCUGCCCCGGCCUUCACACUCUUCCGCCUCUGUUUACCUGAAAGAUGCACAAGUUGACUUGUGGCUAGCUAGCAUCCUUACUGUGUUAGUAAUCAGAGGCCUUCUUUUCGCUGAUGCUGGUGCUUUUUCUUCUGGGAGGUGUGGGGAACCUUUACACGAUAAAUCCCAUGUCCUUGGGCCUGUCCUGGCCCUCCCAUGUGAACAGAGGAGGCGAAUGUGAGCGGUCCAGAGAGAACCCAGAGGCCUUGAUGCUUUGGAGAAUGCCUGUUGCCAUAAAUGGAAGCAGAGCUUGGAGUGUUGUUUUUACCAUGUCUCUUGGACUUAAAUGGAACUAAAUUCUCUCACAAAGAUGGAGAGGCUAAGGGAGCAGAGAAGGGGGUGCCUUGGCUGGGAGCUGGCUGCUAGUCUGUGUGCUGGAGGCCCAAGUUCAAGUAUGCUUGCAGGAAUGCUUCAGUUCUUUUCUCCCGCCACACAAUGACACUGUUGUACAUACAGAGGCCGGGAGAAGGCAGCUGCAUUUCUCCAGCUCCAUGAUCAGUGUCUUUUGGAUUCGCCUCUGGUACAGACACAUCCUACAGGACACAUGUAUUUUCUGCCUUGGUUUAGAAAACAAGAUACCACUCAAACACAUUGCUCUAAACUCCAGAAAACAAGCAGCACAUCCUGGCCAGGAUAUGUCAGCUGUCAUCAGCUCAUGGUCUCAUUGCUCCGCAGUAUGUGACUUUGGGUAAACACUUCACCUUCAUCUUUAAACAUGUUCCCUGCUCAUCACGACCUUGUUAGGUGAGUCCCAAGAAUCCUAAAUCCUGAAUUGCAGGGCUCUUUGGCCGUGUUGCUUUAAUUUUG